UACGUAGGGGGCAAGCGUUGUCCGGAAUCAUUGGGCGUAAAGCGCGUGUAGGCGGCCCGGUAAGUCCGCUGUGAAAGUCGGGGGCUCAACCCUCGAAUGCCGGUGGAUACUGUCGGGCUAGAGUACGGAAGAGGCGAGUGGAAUUCCUGGUGUAGCGGUGAAAUGCGCAGAUAUCAGGAGGAACACCCGUGGCGAAAGCGGCUCUCUGGGACGGUACUGACGCUGAGACGCGAAAGCGUGGGGAGCAAACAGG
rnacentral:rRNA from 1 species